rnacentral:ncRNA from 1 species
AAGGCCUGAUGUGUGUGAGAUUACCCGCUGAAUUUAAGCAUAUAAGUAAGCGGAGGAAAAGAAACUAACUAGGAUUCCCUUAGUAAUGGCGAAUGAACAGGGAUCAGCUCAGUGCCAAAUCGGAAUCACUUGUGGUUCUGAAAUGUGGCUUGAAGGCAGUACCAGUGGCAUCGCGGACGAAAGUCUCUUGGAAAAGAGCGUCAUAGAGGGUGAGAAUCCCGUGAGUCGUUCGCCGUUUGUCACGUACGGUCUGCGUUCUAACGAGUCGCGUUCCUUGGGAUUGGAGCGUAAACGGGUGGUAAAUUUCAUCCAAAGCAAAAUAUAUACUCGAGACCGAUAGCACAAAAGUACCGUGAGGGAAAGGUGAAAAGAACUUUGAGAAGAGGGUUAAAUAGUGCCUGAAAUCGUUGAGAAGGAAGCGGAUGCCGCCGUUGCAUAUGCUGAUUGUAGGAUUGCUGCUCGCUCCUGUCUUCUGCUACUCAUUCACAGACCUGGUCGUGUUGAGCAGUUGUUUGGCAGAUGUUAGUGGUGUUUCCUACUUUCAGUCGUCAGCAUCACUGGCUGAGUGGAAAUAAUCCUUGGAUGCUAAUUGGUCG